rnacentral:rRNA from 1 species
CCUACGGGAGGCAGCAGUGAGGAAUAUUGGUCAAUGGACGAGAGUCUGAACCAGCCAAGUAGCGUGAAGGAUGACUGCCCUAUGGGUUGUAAACUUCUUUUAUAUGGGAAUAAAACGUUCCACGUGUGGGAUUUUGUAUGUACCAUAUGAAUAAGGAUCGGCUAACUCCGUGCCAGCAGCCGCGGUAAUACGGAGGAUCCGAGCGUUAUCCGGAUUUAUUGGGUUUAAAGGGAGCGUAGGUGGAUUGUUAAGUCAGAUGUGAAAGUUUGCGGCUCAACCGUAAAAUUGCAGUUGAAACUGGCAGUCUUGAGUACAGUAGAGGUGGGCGGAAUUCGUGGUGUAGCGGUGAAAUGCUUAGAUAUCACGAAGAACUCCGAUUGCGAAGGCAGUUCACUGGACUGCAACUGACACUGAGGCUCGAAAGUGUGGGUAUCAAACAGGAUUAGAUACCCCAGUAGUC